rnacentral:lncRNA from 1 species
ACGUGAGGGAUAUACGCAAUAGUUGGAUCCUUCGAUCGCCCUCCGACCUCUCUCCCACUUCUUUUUACUCUGCUUUUUCUCUUUUACCUGCCUAAUUUGUUUCUUUCUCUGUCUGCUUGCUUCUGUUGUUUCCUGCGCUACACCGUAAUCGCCGAAAUGCCCAACAGGAAGCCAAGGGCCAGCCGAAGGGCACUCAAGGACAAAAACCCAUCUGGAAAUGCAGCCAAUAUCCUCGCAGGAAAGGUCUUGGAUGCCACUCCGAGCCCGAUCCAAACACCAUGGGACUCCAACCCAGAGAAGGAGAACCACGCGAGCCUCUCUCAGACUCGCACCUCCCCCAAGAAGUCAGCCAAAGUUGCGGCUUCUAAGAAACAGGCCAAGCAGAAGAAGACCCAACCGUCGUCAUUCGAGAAAGAACUCGAAGAAAUGCAAGAGAAGCUGCAAGCGAUGAAGCUCGAGAAGGAGAAAACCUUGGAGCUCUUGAAGGAGAAGAAUGAGAUCUUGAAGACCAAGGGGGAAGAUCUCGCAAUGAAGGGCCGAGAGCAAGACAAGCUUCAGAUGGAGUUGAAGAAGCUGCAGAAGCUCAAGGAGUUCAAACCCACCAUGGUCUGUUUCUUGAUCCCCUUUCUUUUCUUCAUUUGCGUCCUUAUUUCUUCAUGUGUUGCAUUAUCCUCUGUUUGGAUGCUGAGAAAAUAUAUUAUGGAUCUGAAGUUUGGUUUGGUGAUUCUUACUUUUGGGUUCUCAAAUUUGUUUGGUUACUUGUCAAUUGUAAAAAAAAUAGAAAAAAAAAUCCACGAGGGUUCUUAUUUAUAUGUUCUUAGGGUUUCUGUUCUCAAUCCCUUUUCCUGGAAUUCGUAAUUUUGGGAUCCCAGCUUUUGCAUACAAUCUGCUUUUGGGAUCCCUCACGUGCAGGCUAACGGGAAAGGAUUGAAGUUAAGUUUUGGGGCAUAAAUCCGAAAUAGAUUUUACCACGAUGGUUCAAAUCCGAAUUUUUUAACCACAGGAUUAUUAUUCCGUAUAUAUAUCUCUCUCAUGCAGUCGUUAUCUUUGCAAGUAAUUCUUUAUUCAAUUGGUUGUUAUUUUUUGGUCUUGGUUUUUCAAUUUUUAUGCUUGCAGUUCAAAAUUUCAUACUCUUUUUUGUUUCCCUUCAGGUGGAAAUGGAAAUGGAAAUGGAAAUGGACAUGGAUAUGGAAAUGGUGAGGAGCAAUCAGAGGAGAUUGGGGUACUGCUGCAUGAAAAAUGCAAGGCUGAUGGAGCUCCCCAUCGAAAUCCUUGACAACAUCUAUUUGAGGCUACCCGUAAGCUGUCUUUUUACCCUCAGAUGUGUCUCUAAGACAUCAAAGAACAUAGUCGACCGCCCUUGCUUUGUUACACAGCACAUGCGACAUUUGCUUUCGGCGCAAUCUACUUUUGCUUCCGAUCAGUUUAUGCUUCUUCAUCACCUUUUCUACGACUCUCUUUGUGGAUUUGCCUUUACACCACUGAAAUAUGAUGGCGUCAGCGCUGCCUUGAAGAGAAGCGAAGACUAUGCAAUCGUUUCUGAUAUUGUGUCCACAAAGAUCGGUGUUUCUUAUUCUUUGAGUUUUGUUUUCUACAACUUGUUUUUCUUUCGAGAUCAUGGCUAUAGUCGUCAACCGUACAAGAAGAAAGAAAGAAGUCCAUGCUUCUUAUUCAAUCCUUUAAAGGGAGAAGUUCUUCCACUCCCAACCACUGACAUCCAAUUUCCAUAUAGUUUUUCUGGAUCGUGCAAGGAAUGGUAUGGUAUGGGAUUUGAUGAUAUAACCAUCACUUACAAGAUUCUUCGUGUUUCUGGAGAUGAAGAUUCGACGAUAUGUCAACUUAGGGCCCAAAUUUAUGUACUAGGUACCGGCUCGUGGCGAGAGAUACCCUCAGUCCCUCCUCGUAAUUUAAGCAACAACCAUGCAUUUGCACAUGGAGACCAGCAUUGGUUGCUUUAUUUACCUGAUCACUCAAGUUGUAAUAAUAGAUACGUACUCGGUAUAUGUUCUUUUGACUACAAGAAAGAGGAGUUUUACUCGACUAUUCCUCUUCCCGAGCACAUGCAAAGUAAGUAUACUCCGCACUAUAUGGUCCUUUUGUGUCUUCACUUGCUUAAUCUUAAAGGACCUUUGGCCGUCGUGGACACUUUAUCAGAUGACUAUAUUGAGGUAUGGGUGUUGAAGAACUAUGAUACAAAAGAAUGGAGGCUAGAUUACAAGAUAGAAAACGCAAUUGUCAGAGGCGAGCUUAUUAACGUGACAUGUUGUGAAUGGGAGUAUGGCAUAUUCUUCACUAAAUCACAAGAGAUGCCAGAAAGUAUAAGGAUUACUAUCUUUGUGGAUUUUAGAUGUGGCUCCAUUAGUCAUGUAAACUUAUUUCCACCCAAACGCUAUUGGAAUACAAGCAUCUUGAGCUAUAAUGGGACCUUAAUGUCCCUAAAAAAUUAUGGGAAAUUGGUGAGACCUGACCCUACUACUGGAAGCAUCAGUGUCUAGUAACGGGAAAUUUGCCGGCAUUGUUUGAUGCAGCUGCAACUGCAAGGUAAGGAAAACUUGCGAUGUUGACGUUUUGGUGGACCGUUCCAUUGUAAUGCUUUUAUUGUUUUCCAGACUUGUGAUUUGUUUUGUUUCUCAUUUGAUGUUGUGAGUGAUGCAAAGGUUAUACAUUAGAUAAGUCUGCUUUCAUUUAUGUUUUAUAUAAAAACUGUGUUUUAUAUAAUUGGAUUUUGAAAGAUAAUUGAUUAUAUAAGCAAAAGCUAUGAACUAUAAAUUAAGAAUUUCUUAUAGAUCUUCCAGAGAGAGCAACGUUUCAAACAAUUUCAUAGACCAAAUAAAAAAAAUGAAAAAUACUGUCAUGGAAUUCGAAAACCACAGAAGAGCUUAAACCCUAAACCCUAAACCACAGAAGAGCCUUAUCUGAGAUAGAGUAAGGUCCGGUUCUGGUGGCACCCUGCAGAUCUUCCAACCAUAAUGUGGCUGCUAUGCGUCAAAUUUGAUGGGUCAAAGCUUGGCAUGUCUUUAAUGUCAUCAGGCGGUAAGCUGGAAAAGUUUAUCCUUAAGUAGUUCAUUUUCAAGAACUUGUAGAUCUUCCAACCAUGAUGUGGCUGCAGCCUUAUUUUUCACCUUUUUAAGCUCCUCUUCCGCCUUUUCCAAUUCCUUUUCAAGGGCUUUCUCACUCUCUUCAGUUAAGGAUACAAGUUUCAGAGAUGCUAGAUACUCUGGAUUGUCUUCGAAACCUUGAUGUUUAUAUAUUUCAGCAAAUCAUCUUUCUUCUGCAUGUUGUCCUUUGAUAGAAUGAUGUUUCCCUGACGGUAUCUCUUAACAAAAUGAAGCUCCGUUCUCGCUUUCAAAGCCUUAUCGGCGUGCUUCUUUUGAAGAUUUGUCUGCAUGCAUGAUAGAAAAUCAGUUAACAGAUAGCAAAACAUCAAUUCUCACCAAUCUAGUCUCAUAUCGUUCAAUUCCAAAAAUGAACUCACCAAUCUGCUCUUGUAUUUGUCAAUUCCAUAUUUAUAAAAUUCCUGAAGAACUGCAGUCACGAUAAAAAAAUUAAAAUCAGGUUAUAUACGUUUUUACAGCAAAUACAAAAUAAUAAUAGUAAUAAUAAUGUUAUGUCAUACGCUUAAGCCGGCCGUCUUCGUCAAACAAGACCAUGUUCGAAGUCUUUAUUUUCUUUCCAAGUUUGAACUUUUUUUCCAAACCCUCUUGCUCGGCUUCCCUAAGUUGUUUACCAGACCGCUUGACACGGAUGUCUAUUGGACUCGUAUCAUCUCCGUAUUUUUUGUACCCCUGGAGCAUGUAUUACUGUUUUAUUAGAAACUGAAAAUAAUCAUAAAAUUACAAACCAAAUUUUGAUGUUAACUUUUGUCAGGAAAAUUUUACCUUAAUGAAAGGAUCUUUGGCCUCUGCAUUGUGUUCGGCCACUGAAUUAAGAAAUUUCAAAUACUUGUCCGUCCACUUAUGGAUUGGCAACUCUGUAAUCUUUAACAUUCCGUUGCUUUCUUGUAUGCACACGUAAGAGGUGUAGUCGCGGUCACCCGAUUGGCUAACCUCAAUCCUUCCACGAAAACCUUUAUACCACGGGCACAUUUCCACCGGCAGUUUUUCCAUGUUCCCUUCGUAGGCAAUUAAAUGCAUCAUGUUCUUGAUGAUGUGUAUUGGGUGGUAAUUGGGGACAUUGGUACUCCACCCAACUCCAAUUCCUUCACACCAUUCACAAGGACCAUGGGUAUUAUUGGAAAAUACCUACAUGGCAAACAAAAAAAUCAUCCCAAAGAAAACAAUUUCAAUAAUUUACCACCAAAACUUUUAAAGAAGGAAGGAAGAGUAAUGUUAGUAAAAAUAUUGAAACAAACUACAUACCUUCCAGGUUUAACUUCUUCUUUGCCUCGUUCAUCUGAGCUUUCAUCAUCAAGGAAAAUCAAUCUUGUAAUACGAGAAAGCUCAAUAUGUAGAUAACGAGGUGCUGAUUGGUCUUCACCCCCCUAAAAGUAGAAAGGAAAAAGGAACAUAUGUGUGUAAAACAAAAGAUUGUCAUGGAAUUUAAGAGUUACAUUACGCAUGAUGAACGUCAUUCAAGCUUGUUCAAUAAGUGACAUUUUUACCUGGCCCCGUGUUCCAUAAUUGCCAUGGGGAAUAAAGAGAUUGACAUUGUUGCUUCCCACAUAAUUUCGAGUCAUUCCCAUAAUUAUGCUGGCGACAUUACUUGAACUAUGGUGAUCGACAGACUUAGAAAACGUUUCCAAUUUUGUUAUUCCAAUUAACUUAUUCUUCAAAGCGCAGAACAAAAUCUUCCUUUGACCAGGUUUCAAUCCAUCAGCUAUUGAUGGAAUCGUCCUUUUCAGAGCAACAAUGCAAUACUUAAUAUACAUUUUGUUAAAAAAUUCAGUAUAGUUUUUAUGCAUCUCCUCAUCCUCAUCGUCGUGAUUUUCCUCAUCCUCAUCCUCAUCAUUAACUUGGUUACAAUCGAGCAAUGGGGUAUCACUAUUACAUAUGGCAGAAUUGACCAAACUUAACGAUUUAAGUGUAAAAUGGCUAAGAACUUAAUUUUCAUUCCUACAAGUCAAUUGUACAGCUAUGGAAGGGGAAAUACAAACCAAUCAAUUAUAACAGUAUAACGCCUAAUCUAAUUCCUUUGAAGGUAUGGAUUGUGAUCGUGAUCACGAUUCAAUUUUAACAUUAAGUCCAAUGAAUUUGGUGAGAUUAUCCUGCAUCAUAAAGAAAAAUCCUCUGCAUUUGCAUACAAUACACAAAAUAAAUCCCUUGAAAAAUACAAUAAUAGAAAACAACUACUAUAACACCUCUAAGGGUGCGUAGCCCAAGUGAAUAAAAAAAAAUGCCUCAAGCGAGCGGCUUAGUGAGUAUAAUGAAGCUAGUAUAAUCAUAUAAUAUAUUAUAUACUAUUUAAUGCACAUAUUAAUGUAUGCAACAUUGCUCAAAUAAAAAGUUAUUUGACUAAACGAAUCAACACCACUCCACGUACCAAAGGAGAGGUAAAUUUUUAUUUUGUCAUUUUAAAUAUUUGGCGUCUUUUAUGGUCAAUUCAAUAAAGGACAUAUGCAUCCAACAAAAGAAAAAUAAAUGAUAAGCACACAAUCUACGUAAUCUUUCACACAUCUCUUAAUCUUGACUUUUAUUUUUUAUAAUUUAUUCUAUUUAGUUGUUAAAAAUAAAAAGUAACGUGCAAGAAGAUAAAAAUGGUUCGAAAAUAAUUUUACAAACAAAUACAGGGCAUAGUGGAAAAGUAAUUUUCUUUUAAUUUAGUGGGUGGGGCAUGUGACCUUUUCUCACCAAAAAAUAAAAAAAUAAAAAACUGUGGGCGGGAAGAGUAACAGUCGGAGUAUAAACAGAAACUCCGAAGAGAACGAGUGCGCUUGGGCCUUCAGCAACCGUGACUUUAGCAGUCUCGACGACUGUCUCACGAAAUUCACCACCGCCGGUACGCCGCCGUGGUUGCACGUCAGAGCACCAAACGUCCAGAGCCAAAGCCCGCACCUUCUCUCUGACGCUCUCACCGGUUAUGCGAGGCAAGGUAUUAAUCUCAAACUUGACAAGUAUAUGCUUUGCAUUCUGCAAUACGCCUCUUGUCUUUGGCUUUGUUUCCGUUGUGUCUCCAAAAAUUUUAGUAAUUUUACACUCCGUUAAGUAGUUCACUCGCUGUUUACAUUUCGAAUGCAGUGUAACUGUUUGUGAAAAGUUGCGAGUGGCAGGUGGGUUGGAGACUUUCGAGUUUCCAGUUCAUUUUUUUAGAUGAAUUAUGGUGCUGAGGUGUAGUGGGAGGCACUGAGUCUGAGGGGGAACAUGCUUAAUCGGUUAAGUCGGCUGUUGCUUUUGCACUGCUGCUCCGAGGCCAUGGCUAUUUGUAGGUUUGGGCAAUCCCGGUGAUAAGUACCAAGGAACUAGGCACAAUGUACUAUUCCAGAUUAUACUUUUAGUGGCUACAAUUUGAAAUUUUUUCAAAUCUUAAUUUAAUUACACCCUUCUAAAUUAAAGAGAAAUUAGAAUGUCUUGCAAUUUUUCCAUUUCAACGUAUCUACGUAAUUAAUUGUAACAAUUAAUAUUGUGUUCAUGAAUCAAAUGUACUGAAUAUUCAACAGGAUCCUCUUCGGAUCCUUUUGAUGAGAAUCCUCUAUGAAUCGCGUCCAUUCAUCGUGCAUUGUACGGUCAAUUUUUGUCAAGUACUGUUUGUAUUUAAUUUUAAAUAAAAAUAUUUAAAAUGAGAUAUGACCGCACGAUAUAUGAUGAACAUACACGAUUAAUGGAUACCUGAGAUCUUCAUAAAGAGAAUACCGAGAUGAUCCAUUCUCACUGAACAUUAGCAACAAGUACAAUAACUUUCAGCGGCCCAAACCGAAAAAAAAAAAUUGAAAUCAAGAACCACAUUAAAAGUCAAACUUAUCAGUAAAACUGUAAAAGAGAAUCGUGUUAGUUAAUGACAAUAUUCCUUGACUUCCGUCAUUUUCCGUGACGUGAGGGAUACGCAAUAGUUGGAUCCUUCAAUUGCCCACCUCGGACCUCUCUCCCACUUCUUUUUACUCUGCUUUUUCUCUUUUACCUGCCUAAUUUGUUUCUGUCUCCGUCUGCUUGCUUCUGUUGUUUCCUGCGCUAACACCGCAAUCGCCGAAAUGCCCAACAGGAAGCCAAGGGCCAGCCGAAGGGCACUCAAGGACAAAAACCCAUCUGGAAAUGCAGCCAAUAUCCUCGCAGGAAAGGUCUUGGAUGCCGCUCCGAGCCCGAUCCAAACACCAUGGGACUCCAACCCAGAGAAGGAGAACCACGCGAGCCUCUCUCAGACUCGCACCUCCCCCAAGAAGUCAGCCAAAGCUGCGGCUUCUAAGAAACAGGCCAAGCAGAAGAAGACCCAACCGUCGUCAUUCGAGAAAGAACUCGAAGAAAUGCAAGAGAAGCUGCAAGCGAUGAAGCUCGAGAAGGAGAAACCCUUUGAGCUCUUGAAGGAGAAGAAUGAGAUCUUGAAGACCAAGGAGGAAGAUCUAGCAAUGAAGAUCUCGGCAAUGAAGGGCGAGAGCAGAGCAAGACAAGCUUCAGAUGGAGUUGAAGAAGCUGCAGAAGCUCAAGGAGUUCAAACCCAC